GAUGAAGAACGUAGCGAAAUGCGAUAAGUAAUGUGAAUUGCAGAAUUCAGUGAAUCAUCGAAUCUUUGAACGCACAUUGCGCCCCCUGGUAUUCCGGGGGGCAUGCCUGUUCGAGCGUCAUUUCAACCCUCAAGCUCUGCUUGGUAUUGGGCGUCGCCGGGGAGUCUCCCCGGCGUGCCUCAAAGCCAUCGGCGGUGGUGCCUUUCUCUAAGCGUGGUAGAAUUUUUAUUCGCUUCUGAGUUGGGCUUCGCCUGCCGGACAAACCGGGCCCUCGCGGCCCACCUUCUCAGGUUGACCUCGGAUCAGGUAGGGAUACCCGCUGAACUUAAGCAUAUCAAUAACGGAGGA
rnacentral:misc_RNA from 1 species